UAUUGCAAAAUGUAAUUUUGAAUCUUGGAUUGCCAAUUUUUAAACUAUCCCCUUUGUGGCUCUUCCAUUCUACGCGACAUUGGCGAAGUGCAUUGUGCUAGUGUGGCACUACUAAAAGCCAUUAGUUCAUUAGUUAUAUAUGAAGAAGAACAGUUUGACAACAGUUUGGCACUUGAAUGACAUUGACAGUUGGGCGUAAUUGUAGAACAUAGGCUGCCAGCAAUUAGAAUCUUCUCAAGUUUAGGGAAUAUGUUGAAAAUGUUAAUGUUGAAAAUCGAGGAAAGGGUCUAGCCGGAUAAGCAUAGCGAAUCGGCCCCCAAAUGACAACCUAUAUCGAAACUUAGGUAUUAAUAUCGCCUUGAUGUAUGAACAUGAUUUAUAUAAGUUUCGCCUCCCUACUCCGCUUUGACCUUGAGAUAUUAAAAAAAUUAGCUUGUAAACAGUGAAUAAGGGUAACGGGCUAAAAGAUAAUACAUGCUGAUAUGGAGACUGGAGAUUUUUCCCCUGAAUCCUGGUGUAACAACAUGAAUCGUGCUUAAAGCUCAGAUAUGCCAGUUUGUGGUGUUUGGAGCUUUUACUAAGUAGUUAAAUUAAUUAAUUUCAUUUGUAUUGAUGUAGUAUACACAUUAAUUAUUCUAAAUGAUAUUUAUUUGAAAUUUGUGUUUAUACCUCAGGUGAUAAAUACCUAACUAUUGUCUUUAGUUACUGAAUGAAGUCUUAUAAUAAUUAUAAAUAUAAACCAUUUUCUGUGUU